UACGGGGGGGGCAAGCGUUGUUCGGAAUUACUGGGCGUAAAGGGCGUGUAGGUGGCCAACUAAGUCCGACGUGAAAUCCCCAGGCUUAACCUGGGAACUGCGUCGGAUACUGGAUGGCUUGAAUUCGGGAGAGGGAUGCAGAAUUCCAGGUGUAGCGGUGAAAUGCGUAGAUAUCGGGAGGAACACCAGUGGCGAAGGCGAUCUUCUGGACGGAUACUGACGCUGAGGCGCGAAAGCUAGGGGAGCAAACGGG
rnacentral:rRNA from 1 species